UUCAAUUGUUGAUUAAUCUAAAAUUUAUUUCUAAUUUAAUUUGAUCGUUUUAAUCCUUAUAUUUAUUUUCUUUAAACAGUUAAUUGUUUCAUGUUCUUCUCUAGUUAAUGAUUGAUUCUACUGAGCUAAUGAAAAAAUUAAACUAAUGACCAUUUGGUUGAUUAACUCUUGUUUUCUGGACAAUCAGUGUUUCCCCAAAUACGUUUCUGUCUAUUAACUUGAUUGUUAUUAACCCUUAUCAUCUUUAAUUGAUUAAUCCUGAUGAACGAGAUGAAGAAGAUGAUUAUCUAAAUGAUAAGAUUAAAAGAAUAUGGACCAUGAGUGACAAUUAAUCGGUUAAUUAACAUUAAUUGUUCCACUGGAGUAGAAAUGAUUUAACAACAAUUUACUGAUUAUUAAAACCAACUGAUGAUGAAUAAAGAGGAGGAAAAAAAACUGUAGGUGUUUUCAUUUUGUGGAGAGAAACAUUUUCCUCAUAAACAUUAAUACAAACUAGUUAACGAGUUAUUAUUAUUAUCGUUGUUGAUUCAAUACAUUUCAUUGAUGGAGAAAGAAACAAAAAGUAAAUUAUGAUUGAUUGUGUUUGAUUAAUGAUGGAUAUUCAUGUAUGUAUAUCUAAAAGCAGUUACACAUCAAUGUAAUUCUUAAUUGUUGAAACCCAAUUCUAACAACACCAAAAACAAGUAAACCCUACAUUAGUUAAGAUAAUAUCAUUAACUAUAUGGAUACCUAACAUUAAAUGUCGUGUUCAAAUUGUCCACAAUCACCCAAGGGAAAUUGAUUACAAUCAACUUACUUUCGUUACAAGGAGAGUUACAUAAUAAUAUGUUUAUCUAUCAAUGGAUUUACUAUUUAUAUAAUUGUUGGUCAAUGGAUGAGAAAGAUUAAUUGUUGACUUGAUACAAUUAAUUAACUACCUUGUAAAUGCAACUAAUCAAAAUUUCCAAUGAGAAAACUGAAUCAGUUUCAUUGAUUUCGUUAGUUUAGUUUCUCUCUCUCUCUCUGAAUUUAAUUCUGAGUUGUGAGUAUUCAAGUUAAUGGAUAUGUUUAUACAUAUAUUUUGAUUUACAAGUGAAUAUAUUAAUUCUGGAUUGUUUAUCUUCAUCUUUCUGUCUAUUUAAUGGUCAUGGUACAUUGGAAGAUACCGGAUGUUGUUAUUGAGCAUUUAGUGGAUUUUUAAACAUGGUAACAUCAAUUUCCUGUCAUCAUUAAGUAAUAAUCACUAUCAAGGUGGGAUUUAUGUAAGAAACGAUUGAAACAUGAAGAUUGUAAUGGAAUCCAUAUAAUCAAGUUAAUCAUCUUUUCAAGUUAUUAUCAUCAUUAUUUGUUAUUAUUACAAUAAGUUAAAUAAGAAUCGAUCAGAUUGACCUACUCAAUCUCACUCACUUAUCCAAUGGAGUCGAUUGAUGAUGAUAAUCUAAUAUUAAAAAGGAUCGAAAAUGUAAAAGAAAAACAAAAUUGAAGACAACAAGCAAACAGGAAGAAACUUUAAUAGGACUAUGUUACCCUAAUCCAUUUGUAUCAUCAUCAUCUUCAUCAUCACCAUCAUCAUUAUCACGAGAAUGAGAAACUAAAAUCAAGUAAAAGCAUUGGAAAAGAAUCAAAGAAACCGUUAUAAUGGUUAACCUGCAUCCGAAUCAAGAAUCGUAAUGUACAGAAAGAGAGACAAGAAAAAUGUUCCAUAAAAUGUCAAAGAAAAAAAGUCGAAAUGAUGAUGAUCAUCAUAAGCAUCAUCAAUGAUCAUCUAUGGGAAAAAAUUGUCUUAAAAGUAAACAAUUGAUCGUGGUGACCAGUUAUCUCUCUCUCUCUCAUUCACUUUCCGUUGUUAUUAAAUUGCUCCAAGGGUAAAACUGAUAUAUUAUGUUGAAACCUGUCAAAUCAAAUCAUCUGAUUUAUAUUAUGUUAUACAUCACAUAAUUUACAAAGAAUCAAAGGAAAAGAGGAGGAAAAUCAAAUCAAAAUCAGAUGAAAAGCUAAGGAUGUUGGUUGUGGGUGGAUGGUUAUGGUGAUGAUGAUGAUAAUCCAUUAAUACAAUCAACUGAUGAAGAUGAUAUGUCCAACCUGAUCUUUUAUAUUCAUCAAACUAUCAAAUGGAUUUUCGUGCCUGUACAUUACCGAUGAUCAUCAUCAGGAUCAUAACUCUUGCCCAAUCAUUAUUAUUGUUACAAUUUACAGGGAAUAGUUAAUUGGCAAAAUUGAAGUAAAAAGAUGAAUCAAAGUAACAUCACAUUUUCCUGUUCUCUCUCCCUGAUUAUUGGAUCAACAAUCAACAAUCAAAUCACGCAACAGAUUUUACUUUGCAUAUGAUGAUAAUGAUGAUGGAGAUGAGGAUGAAAAAUGAUACUUAUCAUCAUGGAGAAAAAAAAGUUAUUAACAAGUUUCUCUCUCUCUCUCCCUCUCUCAUUUAAUGUAUUAAUAUCAAAGGAGGAGCAAAGUGAUAAUGAUGAUGAUGAUUAAGAGCAAGGAGGAGGAUAAAUUAACAACAAAAAAAAACGUUGAAUUGAUGAUAACUGCUCAAUGUAAAUUUACUUAAUACAUUAAUUUAGUGUAUUAAUAUUUACUUAACUAUAAUUAUCAUGAUCAAUAGUAACUUAUACUGAUGAAGGAUAAUGAUGAUAAUCGUUGUAUCAUCAAUUUUGUUGAUUCCUGUUAAUCAACAAAACUUAUAUUCACCUUAUCAAGGUAACAUUUUAAUGAUUCAAUUAAUGUCUAUCCAAACCCUUGAACCCUUUUUCUUACCUUAACUGUUACCAUUGUGAAAGUUAUUAUUUACUCACCAGAAUUAAAUUAUCUUGUUAACAAUUUAAAUGAUCCACCAUUAUAACAAGAAUCAACCUGGAAAAUCAACAAUCUAUUAAUUUUCUGGCAAAAAAAUCGGAAAAAAUGUUAACUUGACAAUAUCAAGUAUCGAUAACAAUAUAUUACCCCGGAGGCGAUUAAUUUUGUUAUCCUUUUAUUGUUUAUCUUAUUAUUUACUUGGACUGUGAUUCCUGAUAAAUAAAACAUAUUCAUCAUGAUCCAAGUUACAGGAUUUAUCUCCACAGAUCGUCACAUUGCAGGGAAAAAGAUGAUGAUGAGGAUAACUUAUCAUUCUCAUCAUCAUCUACAUUAACUAAAUAGUAACAAGUAUAUUUGAUUUACUUUUUUGAUACCAAAAUGAAAGACAAUCUUGUAUUACAAUCAGUGUGAUUGUUGAAUAAUGUUUUAUAUCAUUGAAGAAGUAAAAACAAAGAUAAAAACAACAAGUUGAACAAGAAUUAUCAUCAUGAUGAUAAUCAUCAUGGAUUCUGAAUGAAAAUCAACAGUAAAUCAUCAUCAUCAUCAUCAACAACAACAACAAACUGGGGACAAGUAACAUUAUCGCCUGCGGCUACUUGAUAGGCCAAAUCUAAAUGCAAAAGGAUGAUAAAGGAAGAUGAUGAUGAAGAUGAUAAAAUGUCUCUGAUAUAUUUAUAUGGAUUCCUCAUAAUUUUACUCCCUUUUUAAAUGAUUAAAGUGCCUGGGGCGAUGAUGAUACAUGUACUUUUUGUUAAAUGGUAAAUGCAACUACUAUCAACAUGACAGAGUAAAUAUAAUGUCAACAAAGAUGUUGAUUGUGAUACAUUUUCUGAUGAGUAAACAAAAUGCGAUUUCAUUUGAAUAGAAAUCAAAUCAUCUGAAUGAUUAUCAUCAUCAUUUGUUGUCAAAAAAACAACAUUAAACUCAUUGAAUGAUAAUGGAAACAUCAUCAUGUUCAUGAUCACCAUGAUAUUAUCAUGAAAAAUUGUUGAAUCUCAUGAGGAAUGAAAAUUUGGAAACAAUCAACUUUGUUUUUCCUUUCCAUCCAAAGUGAUAAUAAACAAAUGAUAACAUCAACUUAUCUUGAUUAUUAUGUUGAUCGUUUUGGAUAAAUCAACAAUAACAAUCAAGGAAUAAAAUUAAUUUAAUAACAAUGAAAACCACUGAGAAAAGAUGAAAAAAAUUGUACAAAUAAAAUCAUCACCAACUGAG